rnacentral:lncRNA from 1 species
GCCAAUUAUCUCCAUGUUUAUUUAAAUAUUUAGCUCUAAAGGAAGCAAUCAUUCCUUUAUACUUCUUUAAAUUUAGUAUUGACAUUUUUAUUUUGGGAAAGGAGGUCUUUUUUUUUUUUUAACAUGGAUACAGGAAAAGAAAACUCUCCAAUAAAAAUAUUGUCUAAAAAGUUUGUUUUGUCUGCAUGAUUUACUAAAUAUGUACAAUUUCAAUUCACAGCGAAGGUAACAAAGAUUUAAACAGCCAACAUCACAAAUGUCUCAAGUUCUAAAAAAAAAUCACUGUGCACAGUUUAACAAUUUAAUUGAAUAAAAACCAAAGCUAAGCCUUCAGUCUGAAUCUUUUUUAUGAUGGGCACAAGCCAUGUAUUUUUUUCAUCUUUGUUACACGAUGUAUAUUUCUGUGACUAAACGCCCCUUCCCAUUUUAGUAUAUUAGGUUAUGUCAGUACAGACUUAAAAGAGACAUAAAUUGCCUCUUGGUACACCUAUAUGAUUCUUGAUGUGUUCACAUAUAUGUCAGGAUAUUUAUCAAUAUAUAAAAUGACCAGAUGAGUCACCUGUGAUUUUUUUUUAAUGUCUUCAAAUGUAGGAAUGUUUU